rnacentral:guide_RNA from 1 species
AUAUUAUGCAACAACAAAAAUAAUGUUGUAGAUGUAGUGUGUGUA